AGUGAACGCUGGCGGUAUGCCUAACACAUGCAAGUCGAACGGCAGCACAGUAAGAGCUUGCUCUUACGGGUGGCGGGUGGGGGACGGGUGAGGAAUGCACCGGACUCUACUUUUUCGUGGGGGAUAACGUAGGGAGACUUACACUAAUACCGCAUACCACCUGCGGGUGAGGGCCGUGGAUCUUCGGACCUUGAGCGAUUGCAUGAGCCGAUGUCGGAUUAGCUAGUUGGCGGGGUAAAGGCCUACCAAGGCGACGAUCCGUAGCUGGUCUGAGAGGACGACCAGCCACACUGGAACUGAGACACGGUCCAGACUCCUACGGGAGGCAGCAGUGGGGAAUUUUGGACAAUGGGCGAAAGCCUGAUCCAGCAAUGCCGCGUGGGUGAAGAAGGCCUUCGGGUUGUAAAGCACUUUUGUUGGGAAAGAAAAGCAGCAGGUUAAUACGCUGCUGUGAUGACGGUACCCAAAGAAUAAGCACCGGCUAACUACGUG
rnacentral:rRNA from 1 species